rnacentral:rRNA from 1 species
AGUGAACGCUGGCGGUAGGCCUAACACAUGCCAGUCGAACGGCAGCACAGUAAGAGCUUGCUCUUACGGGUGGCGAGUGGCGGACGGGUGAGGAAUACAUCGGAAUCUACUUUUUCGUGGGGGAUAACGUAGGGACACUUACGCUAAUACAGCAUACGACCUACGGGUGAAAGCAGGGGAUAUUCGGACCUUGCGCGAUUGAAUGAGCCGAUGUCGGAUUAGCUAGUUGGCGGGGUAAAGGCCCACCAAGGCGACGAUCCGUAGCUGGUCUGAGAGGAUGAUCAGCCACACUGGAACUGAGACACGGUCCAGACUCCUACGGGAGGCAGCAGUGGGGAAUAUUGGACAAUGGGCGCAAGCCUGAUGCAGCCAUACCGCGUGGGUGAAGAAGGCCUUCGGGUUGUAAAGCCCUGUUGUUGGGAAAGAAAAGCAGCAGGUUAAUACCCCGCUGUUCUGACGGUACCCAAAGAAUAAGCACCGGCUAACUUCGUG